rnacentral:lncRNA from 1 species
UCAAGUGGAAAGUUGCUGCAUACCAGGUCAGUGUGAAUGUGGGCCUAGAUCCCAGCAGCGAUCAUCUGGUUUCUUACAGAACAGUAAGUGAGGCCAGCGUCCCAGACCCGAGGACUUCUGACCAAGCUUGGCUUGCAGAUGCUCAGCUGGGAAAUGAUGGAUCGCUCAGCCGUUCCCAGGACUCUGAGUGGACAGCCGGGACUUGAUCAGAGAAGACAUAUGUGGCAACUGGGUGGGGGAUUCCCCAUACCUAGGUCUUCAUUUUGGGUUUGUCCCAUGUAUCUCAGUGUGUGUGGCCACAUUGCUUUUUGUGAAGAUUAUGUUAAGCAUUGUCUUUUCUUCUGGGCUCUAUGA